rnacentral:rRNA from 1 species
GAGUUUGAUCCUGGCUCAGGAUUAACGCUAGCGGCAGGCCUAAUACAUGCAAGUCGAGGGGUAAUAGGGUAGCAAUACCGCUGACGACCGGCGCACGGGUGCGUAACGCGUAUGCAACUUACCUAUAACUGGGGAAUAGCCUUCCGAAAGGAAGAUUAACACCGCAUAACAUCACGAGACGGCAUCGUUUUGUGAUCAAACCUCCGGGGGUUAUAGAUAGGCAUGCGUAACAUUAGCUAGUUGUGAGGUAACGGCUCACCAAGGCGACGAUGUUUAGGGGGUCUGAGAGGAUGAUCCCCCACACUGGUACUGAGACACGGACCAGACUCCUACGGGAGGCAGCAGUAAGGAAUGUUGGACAAUGGGGGCAACCCUGAUCCAGCCAUGCCGCGUGAAGGAUGAAGGCGCUCUGCGUCGUAAACUUCUUUUAGCCGGGAAAAAUUGUUGGGUUUCUACCCGACUUGAUUGUACCGGAAGAAUAAGGAUCGGCUAACUUCGUGCCAGCAGCCGCCGUAAU